rfam:Asian citrus Psyllid, Diaphorina citri - Florida Strain, whole genome shotgun sequence.
AUUAGUGACAGUAGCACUUUGCCUGCAUUAGUUCCCGAUUGAUCACUGAAGUUAAGCAACGUUACGCGUGGUUGGUAUUCCGGACGGGUGACCAUUUGGGUAAUCGCCUGCCGCUGGUU